rnacentral:rRNA from 1 species
UGCAGUCGAACGAGACCUUCGGGUCUAGUGGCGCACGGGUGCGUAACGCGUGGGAAUCUGCCCUUGGGUUCGGAAUAACUUCGGGAAACUGAAGCUAAUACCGGAUGAUGACGAAAGUCCAAAGAUUUAUCGCCCAGGGAUGAGCCCGCGUAGGAUUAGCUAGUUGGUGGGGUAAAGGCUCACCAAGGCAACGAUCCUUAGCUGGUCUGAGAGGAUGAUCAGCCACACUGGGACUGAGACACGGCCCAGACUCCUACGGGAGGCAGCAGUAGGGAAUAUUGGACAAUGGGCGAAAGCCUGAUCCAGCAAUGCCGCGUGAGUGAUGAAGGCCUUAGGGUUGUAAAGCUCUUUUACCCGAGAUGAUAAUGACAGUAUCGGGAGAAUAAGCUCCGGCUAACUCCGUGCCAGCAGCCGCGGUAAUACGGAGGGAGCUAGCGUUGUUCGGAAUUACUGGGCGUAAAGCGCACGUAGGCGGCGAUUUAAGUCAGAGGUGAAAGCCCGGGGCUCAACCCCGGAACUGCCUUUGAGACUGGAUUGCUAGAAUCUUGGAGAGGCGAGUGGAAUUCCGAGUGUAGAGGUGAAAUUCGUAGAUAUUCGGAAGAACACCAGUGGCGAAGGCGGCUCGCUGGACAAGUAUUGACGCUGAGGUGCGAAAGCGUGGGG